CGUACCGCAAACCGACUCAGGUGGGCGGGGUGAGUAUCCCAAGGCGCGUGAGAGAACGCUGGCUAAGGAACUCGGCAAAAUAGCACCGUAACUUCGGGAGAAGGUGUGCCCGCCGACGUGAUGGAACUUGCUUCCUGAGCGUUGGCGGGUCGCAGUGAAAUGGGGGUUGCGACUGUUUACUAAAAACACAGGACUGUGCGAACUCGUAAGAGGACGUAUACGGUCUGACGCCUGCCCGGUGCUGGAAGGUUAAGGGGAGAGGUUAGCGCAAGCGAAGCUUCGAACCGAAGCCCCAGUAAACGGCGGCCGUAACAAUAACGGUCCUAAGGUAGCAAAAUUCCUUGUCGGGUAAGUUCCGACCUGCACGAAGGCGUAACGACAUCCCUACUGUCUCGGCCAGCGACUCAGCGAAAUUGUAUCGGGGGUGAAGAUACCCUCUACCCGCGGCAAGACGGAAAGACCCCAUGAACCUUUACUGCAACUUGGCAGUGAGGUUCGGAACAGUCUGCGUAGGAUAGGUAGGAGGCUUUGAAGUCGGGAUUCCGGUCUCGAUGGAGCCGUCGUUGAAAUACUACCCUGGCUUUUCUGGACUUCUAACCUAGGCCCCUCAACGGGGUCGGGGACACUGCCUGGUGGGCAGUUUGACUGGGGCGGUCGCCUCCCAAACAGUAACGGAGGCGCGCGAAGGUACCCUCAGGCUGAUUGGAAACCAGCCGGCGAGUGCAAUGGCACAAGGGUGCUUAACUGUGAGAGGGACACCUCGAGCAGGUGCGAAAGCAGGCCAUAGUGAUCCGGUGGUCCCGCAUGGAAGGGCCAUCGCUCAUCGGACAAAAGGUACUCUGGGGAUAACAGGCUGAUCGCGCCUGAGAGUCCAUAUCGGCGGCGCGGUUUGGCACCUUGAUGUCGGCUCAUCGCAUCCUGGGGCUGGAGCAGGUCCCAAGGGUUUGGCUGUUCGCCAAUUAAAGCGGUACGCGAGCUGGGUUUAGAACGUCGUGAGACAGUUCGGUCCCUAUCUGCCGUGGGCGCAGGAUACUUGAGAGGAGCUGUUCAUAGUACGAGAGGACCUGAACGGACGCACCUCUAGUGUUCCGGUUGUCAUGCCAAUGGCAUAGCCGGGUAGCUAUGUGCGGAACGGAUAACCGCUGAAAGCAUCUAAGCGGGAAGCCGGCCUCAAGACAAGGUAUCCCGGGGCAUAAGCCCCCUGAAGGCCCCUUGAAGACUACAAGGUGAUAGGCGGGAGGUAGAAGCGCAGCGAUGCGCGGAGCUGACCCGUACUAAUAGGCCGUGCGGCUUGAC
rnacentral:rRNA from 1 species